AAUGUUGCAUAUAUUCUCUUUUAGGGCAUGACUACACUUGCAGUUGUAGAGCGCUGGGAGUUAAACCAGACUUCGGAGACUGCAGCAGGGAAAACGCUGCCGAGUGUUUACACUCUCAGCUGGAAGCGCGCUGGUGUGGCCACACGAGCAGCUCUUGCAACACCACAAAGAGCAGUGCAUUGGGAUAGCUAUCCCAGCAUGCAAGUGGCUGCAACCUACUUUUCAAAUGCAGAGGGUGGGGUGGAG